UACGUAGGGUGCGAGCGUUAAUCGGAAUUACUGGGCGUAAAGUGUGCGCAGGCGGCAGAGCAAGUCGAGUGUGAAAGCCCCGGGCUUAACUUGGGAAUUGCGCUCGAAACUACUUUGCUGGAGUGUGGCAGAGGAAGGUGGAAUUCCACGUGUAGCGGUGAAAUGCGUAGAGAUGUGGAGGAACACCAAUGGCGAAGGCAGCCUUCUGGGCCAACACUGACGCUGAUGAGCGAAAGCCAGGGGAGCAAACGGG
rnacentral:rRNA from 1 species